UUAGUCUCCGUUUCCUUUCAUGCCUGAUGCCCUAUCUGGCAGCUCUAUCUUUUGCCUCAUCUUCUUUUCUGUUAUUCAUAUGCUCCCUGGUCCCUGAGGGUUCAGCUGGCUCACUUGGCGUCUAACCCACAGCUCCCCAGACUGGGAGGUAAGAGCCUUAAAGGCAAACUCAUGUCUUCACCUGUACCUAGAACUGGGUCUGAGUCUGCUGAAUUGAAUGCAAUCUUGACCUCUUUUUCAUGUUCCCAGCAGCUCCCAGGCCCAGAGCCCACAAUUCCUGUGGGUGUCCAUGUUUGAGAGGUUUUGUCACACCCCUAAGGAUGACGCAGGUGCAGCCUUUUAUCGGUUUCAAAGGUGGCUUUAUGUGGAGAAGGAAUCCAAAAGCUGUAGAAAGGAAAGAGAAAAAAAGCCCUCCCCAUCUUAACCCCUUAAGCUUUCCUCACAAAGAACAACAGAGUGAAACCGAACUAUUACGACACAGACGAGACACCGAAAUGGGACACGACAGAAGGGUUUUCACAUGCCUUUGACUUCCUUUUUUCACCCAGGGUACAGACCAAUCUUGGUAAAGACAGGAAUCUGUUUGACAAACAUGAACAUGACACCUAAAACCCAACGCCCAUAUUGUUCUGUUCUGUUUUCAACAAGCCCUUCACCUCCCAACACUCAGGAACAAAAGCAACAGCCACAACCAAUCUGGAGUUACAGGGCUUUUACCUUUCUGGGGAGUUUUGCACUUCGGGUCCCAGGAAAGUCAAUUUGAGAUAUCAGAGGCAGCCCAGAGACAGAGCAGAAGACCAUGCUUUGUUGCCGGGCAGACUGGUGAGACAAAGGCCUGACCUGUUAGGGCUGCGUGUGGAAACCAGGCUGGGAGGCCCAUUUGUACAAGUGGCAAGACAGCCAAAGAAGCAAUUCCAGCCUUACCGCUUCUGACAAAAUUUAGCCAAGCGUUGAUCUGCAGGGAAGAAAAUCUGCUGGCUGAUCCCCACUCCUUCCUUGACAAUCUGAGCCCCCUUCUAACUCAGCUGCAGAAUCUAGACAUCUUUGAAAAGCCUGUUCUUUGUUACUCAUUACCACCAGCUCCUAACCUUCAAAGCACCAGAACUGGACAGAAUCAAGUCACCUAACUUGUAUGUGCCUCAGGAUCCCAUGUUUAAAACCAAGAUAAUACCACCCCGUCUCCUCUUCAUCACUGAGAUAUACUAAGGACCAAGAGAGGCGAGUGCCUGAGGGUCUUCCCCGAAGAGACCACCAAAGGCCCACAGUGUAUACAACACAGACCAGAGGGUCUGCCCUGGGGCCCUUGGGGGUCACCACGCUCUUUUCAGAUCUGCAAGAUCAAACUCUUUCCAAAACACCACUAGGCCACUCCUUCUCGUGCAGUACACAGUGGAGUCUGCUGGGGCCACAAGGUGUGUGAUUAUGUCAUCACUCUAAUCAUGACUAAUGGAAUGUGUGCUUGUGAGUUCUUGUGCUGUAAGAUUUUCUGUUUUAGAGUCUAGUUAAGUAUCGGUAGACAAAAGCUCUUUGGAAUCUUCAAUAACUUGCCUGUGGUUAAAGAGGCCCUGAGACCAGUGCAAGACCAGCCAAUCCGGAACUUGGUCCCACUGAAGCAAGCAGUUCCCAGGAAUGCCCACAGCUUCACCCUGAACAGGGAGUGGCCCAGAACGUUCUGCAGGCACUUGAUGGAAAAGACAAAACUCUAAGUGGUUCAGAGAGGCAUAAAUGCAGAUCGGCUCUGGGAAUGAUUCAAUAAACAGGUAGUAGCAAAAAUAGCUUCCUCCUCAACAAUCAACAACUAUUCGUUGGGAACUCAAAAUGAACAAACGAUAAGUGCCAAGAGAAAUAAAACAGUCAUUGUGAGGGAGCCUAUACUCUGGUUGGCAAGAUGAGCAGUACAUUUGAGAAGAUGACCAAAAGCGCAAGACCGUUCUGGGAAAGUGAUAAGCAAGUGAUUGUCAUAUUAUGGCUACGUGAGGAUAAGACUGUAGGUCGUGGUAUCGAGAAGGAUAGAACUCAGGAAAGCAAGCAUAAUUCUAAGAAGGCCGAAACCAGGAAGUUGUUUCAGCCAGAAACAGUGAGAUAAAGAACGGGUAAAAAUGCUCAAGGGACAGGUAGAUGUGGUCUGACUAAAGCAGAGGCUCCGAAAUAACACUGGAACUUCAGGCUGAGAAAUGGGUCUGGCUAGACUGGGUAGUGCCACAAAUGACAGACUAUAUGAUCUUGAACUUAUUGUCAAGAGAACAAGAGUUGGACCCUUAAGUCACUGAAUCCUAGCCUCUGGGAUGACUCACACCCAAAGAGCUUGAAUAAAAGCCAGUUCUUAAAUCAGUGAAAGUCAGAGACAAGUGGUAUUUUGAGAUUCUACAGAGGUCAUUGGAAAGGCAGGUCAUCUAAGGGCCUCUUAACUUUGUAAACACUCAGAAUCUGAGAGCCCACAACCAUUUUGUUGAAACUGUGCACUUGAGAGCCUUCACAGAGAUAGUGUUAUUUGAGGGGAAGGCCCAAUACGGUAGGUCUUGGCUUAAAUAAGUUCUUAUCUAGAACUCACAAGGCUCCAUGAUCUUUUACCCAAUUUAAAAAGUAACUCAACUCAUAGAAAUAUCUUACACUCAGAGACAAGGAUGGGGAAGAUUAGAAGAUAGUAGACUCUGUGAAAGAAAGAGACAAUCUCUUGCUUUGUUUUCAAAAUUACUUAGUAUUCCAAAAAGAAUUACUGGUAGGAUCUGGGCCAUGGUAGGUUUAGCAUGUGGAGGGACAAAGCCUAUGACUGAAAUGUUUCUAAUACCCAGAGUAUCACUGACAUUUAUCUUAGUAUGACAAUAAAAGAACAGGCACAAUUUCUAUACAAUUUCUGUUUGGAAUGAGCCAAACAAUUUCAUUAUGGGGAGUGGUAAGUCAAGCACUGUGUCAUUUUUCUCCUCCUACAAGUGUAGGUCUGUGAGAUAAGUCAAUCACCACACACUUUACGGAGGGGGAAGAGCUUACCUUACAUGGUACUGUAAAAUGCUGAGAGCUAAUGUUACAGUGGGUAGCUAGAGAUUUCCCAGUGGUCUUUGACUAGGUUCUGCCAAAUCACCCAUUUUUUACUUAUUUUUCCUUUAAAAUGAUUAAAUGUUUAAUCUUUAAUUGGCAAAUACAUUGA